GGGAUCAUGACCUGAGCCAAAGGCAGACACUUAACAAACUGAGCCAUCCAGGCCUCCCACCUUAUUCAUCUUAAUAGAGGGAGAAGACAUUAGGCAGAUGCGAUAAUAGUUGAGCCAUAUUUUAGUUCAGUUUCACAUGUAUUAAACGUGUCUUAAUUAGUAUAGGUAUAAUAGUAAGUUUCCUCUCCUUUGAGCUCUUAGGGGAGCUCAUAAAAAUUGAUGUGUGGAACCCGAGUUUUUAUAAAAUCCAUUUUCAUAUUCAUUGGUCUGUUGAAUACCUUGUGAAUGCUGAAGCCUGAUACUCGACUUCAUUACAUUUUCCUUGUACAGUCUUGACUGUUUGGAUGACAAGCUGUGAGCUCUGAGUGAAAAAUGAUUUAUUGUAUCAUAUACCCAGAAUAUUUCCUUUAAUAAUAUUGACCUGGCAGUUCUCACUGCUCCUAGUAUUAUCACAUUACUAUAGGUCAUCUACAUGGCUUCUUCGCCCUUUUUUCCUAGACUUAUCUCGGCAAGUCACUUCUUCCAGAUGACUCAACAGAGGAUGCUAAAUCAAGCAGAAUUUGGGCAGCUGCUCUUUUGGAAAGGAUGCUGAGGAACAGGAGUUUAUUCUGAAGAAAUCAGAAGUGAUACGAAGAGAUAUGAAAAUGAUAUUCAUUACAGCUCUAUACUGUGAUACAAAUGAGAAGCAAUUGAAUUCUACAAAAGUGAGAGUAAUGGAUUUUGGAUUAAUGUCUUUGGAGAAUAAGGAGUCUUAGAAGUUAAUUUUAUGCAGUAUACAUAUGGUAACAGAUUGGAAGAUCCCAGGAGCAACCAAGAUGAGUGAAGAGCAGACAGUGACUGAGCAGGAGAGACUGCUUCUGUGAGCAGUCCUGUGGGUUGAUUCCUCUCCUUACAUUCGAAGAACUAGCCACGAGCCUUGUAUGUACACUCAUUCUGUUAUUCAUCAUUGUAAAUAAUACACAGUUCCACAUUUAAAUAAAGCCACAUUUUCAAAAUUA